rnacentral:rRNA from 1 species
UACGGGGGGGGCAAGCGUUGUUCGGAAUUACUGGGCGUAAAGGGCUCGUAGGUGGCCAACUAAGUCAGACGUGAAAUCCCCAGGCUCAACUUGGGAACUGCGUCUGAUACUGGAUGGCUUGAAUCCGGGAGAGGGAUGCAGAAUUCCAGGUGUAGCGGUGAAAUGCGUAGAUAUCUGGAGGAAUACCGGUGGCGAAGGCGGUUCUCUGGGCAUGUCCUGACGCUGAGGAGCGAAAGUGUGGGGAGCGAACAGG